AUUGAACGCUAGCGGGAUGCCUUACACAUGCAAGUCGAACGGAGUGGCGAACGGGUGAGUAAUGUAUCGGAACGUGCCCAGUAGCGGGGGAUAACUACGCGAAAGCGUAGCUAAUACCGCCUACUAUGGGAGAGGCCGAUAGCGGAUUGGAUGGUUGGUGGGGGAACGGCUCACCAAGGCGACGCACCGGAGCUGGUUUGGGAGGAAGACCAGCCACACUGGGACUGAGACACGGCCCAGACUCCUACGGGAGGCAGCAGUGGGGAAUUUUGGACAAUGGGGGAAACCCUGAUCCAGCCAUCCCGCGUGUGCGAUGAAGGCCUUCGGGUUGUAAAGCACUUUUGGCAGGAAAGCGGUACCUGCAGAAUAAGCACCGGCUAACUACGUGCCAGCAGCCGCGGUAAUUC
rnacentral:rRNA from 1 species